rnacentral:tRNA from 4 species
GAAGCGGGGUAGAGGAAUUGGUCAACUCAUCAGGCUCAUGACCUGAAGAGUGUAGGUUCGAAUCCUGCCACCUUUCU